rnacentral:rRNA from 1 species
GACGAACGCUGGCGGCGUGCUUAACACAUGCAAGUCGAACGAUGAAGCCGGAGCUUGCUCUGGUGAAUUAGUGGCGAACGGGUGAGUAACACGUGAGUAACCUGCCCUUGACUCUGGGAUAACUGCUAGAAAUGGUAGCUAAUACCGGAUACGACCCUCGGAGGCAUCUUCAGGGGGUGGAAAGAAUUUCGGUCAAGGAUGGACUCGCGGCCUAUCAGCUAGUUGGUGAGGUAACGGCUCACCAAGGCGACGACGGGUAGCCGGCCUGAGAGGGUAACCGGCCACACUGGGACUGAGACACGGCCCAGACUCCUACGGGAGACAGCAGUGGGGAAUAUUGCACAAUGGGCGCAAGCCUGAUGCAGCAACGCCGCGUGAGGGAUGACGGCCUUCGGGUUGUAAACCUCUUUUAGUAGGGAAGAAGCGAAAGUGACGGUACCUGCAGAAAAAGCACCGGCUAACUACGUGCCAGCCGCCGCGGUAA